GCCCGCGUAGCUCAGUGGCGAGAGCACCGGUUCGACAUACCGAAGGUCCCUGGUUCGAGUCCAGGUGCGGGCAC
rnacentral:tRNA from 1 species